UGUCUGUCUACCUUGAUCGUUCUGGAUACAGCUUCUUAAUGGACGAGCAUCUCGAGGCAAAGCUCUUCUUUAACGAGCAUUUCCGAGUAAGAUCCAUUACUAACGAGCACUUCCAAGUGAGGUUCACUCCUAACUUCCAGGCGAGGUUCAAUCCUAGCGAGCACUUUCGAGCGAGGUUCAAUCCUAACGAGCACUUCUGGGCGAGGUUGACUCAGCACUUAUGGGCAAGAUUCACUACCGACUUAUAUGGCGGUCCAAUGCUCUCCAAAGCCCUCUGGCUUUUCGGCCCAAGAGGAGUUAUUUUCAAGUUCAGAGGAACUCACUAGUAAAGCUCGCAGGUAAUGAUGAAAAGGCUGGAGAGCAAGACAUUACUGCAGAGGGAGAGGCAAAAGCUUAGGGUCUUCCCUAACUAGAACAUUUAUGUUUUGGAUGAUGGGUUAUGUUUUUAUGAACGUAUGGACUCUGAGAGUCUUUUUUUUAUGAAUGUUCGAAUAUAAUGUCUAUCAAGUGUUCCCUUUAUUAAAUUAAAAAUUUAG